GUCUUUUAGAAGUUAAUUAAAAGUCAAAUCUGCUCCAUGAAAUUUUUAAAUAGCUGCAGUAUUUUAACUGUACAAAGGUAGCAUAAUCAAUAGUUUUUUAAUUGUAAACUGGAAUGAAAGAUUAAAUAAAAUAAAAUCUUUUUUAUUAAUAUUAAUAAAAUUUUUUUUUUAGUUAAAAAGCUAAAAUAUUAUAAAAAGACGAGAAGACCCUAUAGAUUUUUAUAAUUAUUUUUAUUGUAAAUUAAUUUAUAUAUAAUAUAUAAUAAUUAUUUGAUUGGGGUGAUUAUUAAAUUAAUUUAACUUUAUAUUAUUAAACCAAUAAUUAUUGAAUAAUUGAUUUUAAAUUUUAUAUUAUUAGAAUAAAAUACCUUAGGGAUAACAGCGUAAUUAAAUUGGAUAGUUCAUAUUAAUAAUUUAGAUUGC
rnacentral:rRNA from 1 species